rnacentral:rRNA from 1 species
AUGAACGCUAGCUACAGGCUUAACACAUGCAAGUCGAGGGGCAGCAUGGUCUUAGCUUGCUAAGGCCGAUGGCGACCGGCGCACGGGUGAGUAACACGUAUCCAACCUGCCGUCUACUCUUGGACAGCCUUCUGAAAGGAAGAUUAAUACAAGAUGGCAUCAUGAGUCCGCAUGUUCACAUGAUUAAAGGUAUUCCGGUAGACGAUGGGGAUGCGUUCCAUUAGAUAGUAGGCGGGGUAACGGCCCACCUAGUCUUCGAUGGAUAGGGGUUCUGAGAGGAAGGUCCCCCACAUUGGAACUGAGACACGGUCCAAACUCCUACGGGAGGCAGCAGUGAGGAAUAUUGGUCAAUGGGCGAGAGCCUGAACCAGCCAAGUAGCGUGAAGGAUGACUGCCCUAUGGGUUGUAAACUUCUUUUAUAAAGGAAUAAAGUCGGGUAUGGAUACCCGUUUGCAUGUACUUUAUGAAUAAGGAUCGGCUAACUCCGUGCCAGCAGCCGCGGUAAUACGGAGGAUCCGAGCGUUAUCCGGAUUUAUUGGGUUUAAAGGGAGCGUAGAUGGGUGUUUAAGUCAGUUGUGAAAGUUUGCGGCUCAACCGUAAAAUUGCAGUUGAUACUGGAUAUCUUGAGUGCAGUUGAGGCAGGCGGAAUUCGUGGUGUAGCGGUGAAAUGCUUAGAUAUCACGAAGAACUCCGAUUGCGAAGGCAGCCUGCUAAGCUGCAACUGACAUUGAGGCUCGAAAGUGUGGGUAUCAAACAGGAUUAGAUACCCUGGUAGUCCACACGGUAAACGAUGAAUACUCGCUGUUUGCGAUAUACUGCAAGCGGCCAAGCGAAAGCGUUAAGUAUUCCACCUGGGGAGUACGCCGGCAACGGUGAAACUCAAAGGAAUUGACGGGGGCCCGCACAAGCGGAGGAACAUGUGGUUUAAUUCGAUGAUACGCGAGGAACCUUACCCGGGCUUAAAUUGCAGAUGAAUUACGGUGAAAGCCGUAAGCCGCAAGGCAUCUGUGAAGGUGCUGCAUGGUUGUCGUCAGCUCGUGCCGUGAGGUGUCGGCUUAAGUGCCAUAACGAGCGCAACCCUUGUUGUCAGUUACUAACAGGUUCCGCUGAGGACUCUGACAAGACUGCCAUCGUAAGAUGUGAGGAAGGUGGGGAUGACGUCAAAUCAGCACGGCCCUUACGUCCGGGGCUACACACGUGUUACAAUGGGGGGUACAGAGGGCCGCUACCACGCGAGUGGAUGCCAAUCCCCAAAACCUCUCUCAGUUCGGACUGGAGUCUGCAACCCGACUCCACGAAGCUGGAUUCGCUAGUAAUCGCGCAUCAGCCACGGCGCGGUGAAUACGUUCCCGGGCCUUGUACACACCGCCCGUCAAGCCAUGGGAGCCGGGGGUACCUGAAGUGCGUAACCGCGAGGAGCGCCCUAGGGUAAAACUGGUGACUGGGGCU